AGAGGACUGCUAAAUGCUGGAAUAAGUUGCAGCAGGUUCAGCUUCCACGUUACUGACGGUCAGUGGGAAAUCUGUCUCAGAUAAUCCAUGCUGAUCAGACUCUGAUCUAGUAAAGGCUUUGGAAACUGACCCAGGUUUCUGACCCAGGACAAACUGAUGUCAAAUUCUGACCUGUCCUGCACAUCAAACCAACAGCUUAGCAAGACAUUGUAGACCAUCCAGCCAUAGCUGAACCACCAGCUGACUACAGACACAUGAGUGAAUGCAACAGAUCAGCCCAGCCAGGUCAGAAUAAAGGCACCUGCAAGCUGGCCCUCAGAAUUGUAAGGAGUAAUAAAUAAUUGUCUUCUGCCAUUAUGUUUGGAGCUGGUUUGAUUUUUAGCUAAGGCUAACUGAUACUUGUGAAAAGGAGGCAAUAGAGUUAAGUGUGGGGUAGGCACAGUUACUAUAAUUUGUGUAACUUCAAAGCAUAUCUGCUUACUUUUUUAAUCCAGAUAUGAAUAAACAUGUCUGAUUAUUAUGGACUUUGUAUAUCUCCCUUAUCUCCCCAGCGAAUCCUAAUGAACUGGGGAAAAAGACUCUUUUUCUCCAUUUCCUCUCAUUCUUUUUGACUAUGAGGAGCAACACACUACUGUUUAUACUUCUCAUUAUUCAGACAAAUUGAUGCUUUAAUUUUAGUAGGUUGUCUUCAACGUUUACAGGUCACUGGUGUUAAUUAUGUCAUGAAGAGUUUCUUGCGUACUCAUUUUUCAUCCAUUCAUUCCAUAAAGUGUUAGUUGAGCACUUACUCUGCACCAGGCAUGUGCCUAGGCUGCAACCCUGAGAAAGUCAAUGUCUAACUCUCAUUGACUUAUACUCUACUAUAAACAAUAUAAAAUGUUUAGUUAAACACAAAUCAACAGUAAGAUUUCAGGAAAAUUAAAGCUAUAGAGGAGAAUCAGUAUAGAGAGAAGUGGAGACUAGAUCAGUUGGGGAGGCAGAGCCUGCUUCCUCUGAGGAGGUGACUGAUACAGAGGCAGACAACUGACUGUAGGGAAUCUCUUGAGAAGAGCUUCGGGAUCUACAGAGAUCAGGCACAAAGGAUCUGAGAAGGAACACCAUAAGAACAUGUGAAGGACAGAGAAAGCCACUAGGAGGAGAGUAAAUCAAUCCAGGGAAGGAAGAGGAAGUCAGAAGGGUGGCAAGUCACUGUCUUAUCUCAGAGUCUUAUAGAUCACCACACAUAAUGGGUGUCAAAUAAAGAAGGCCCUCCCUGUCAGUCCGUUUUCAUACUGCUAUAAAGAACUAUCCCAGACUGGGGAACUUAUAAAGGAAAGAGGUUUAAUUGACUCACAGUUCAGCACGGCUGGAGAGGCCUCAGGAAACAAAUACCACAUGUUCUCACUUAUGAGUGGGAGCUAAAUACGGGGCAUGCAUGGACAUAAAGAUGGGAACAAUAAACACUGGUGACUACCAGAGGGAGGAGGUGAGUUUAAAAAAAAAAAAAA
rnacentral:lncRNA from 1 species